rnacentral:lncRNA from 1 species
GGUGAUGCUGUUUAGGACCAAUUUCAAAGGAGGAGAUUUCCACUAAUGCAGGAAAACCUGAUGCAAAACAAGGGGGUGAAAUGACUGAUGGGGACUUUUCUCAUUCAACCUUUCUUUUUUCCCCCAAUAUCUUGAUAUCCCAGAUGGAACACUGAUCAAAGGAAUUAUGCAUGACAAUGAGAAUGUUAGCCAUAGCGACCAUGGUAAAUCACAGAGAAGCAACAGAACAUCAUGCAGUUGGGAGGAGGGACCAAUUAACAAGAGGACACAUAAGGGACACAUAUACAGAGUCUGCUGCCCCAGCUACUGCUCCGGUGACCAGCUUUGGAAGGGCAUGACUGAUUACAUCUUACCUAAUACCUGCCUUCUACACCUCUAAGUGAGACAUCUAAGGAUCUGCACAGUGACCCUGCAUGUGCAACUUGGAAGUACAGGAAAAUGAUUGUCCCAUGGAGCAAGCCCUUGAAAGUGGAAAUUAACAUGAAUAGACCAGCACAUCUCCACCUUUCUUCAUGAUCUUGAGAAACAGUUGAUUACAAAGCCUCUCAGAAGCUAACAGACCUGCAGGAUCUAUCAAUCCAUCACUGUGCUUGGUAUUCUACAGAGGACAAGAGGAGACUACAUUGUCUUUCUGACUGUUUUGCCACCUACUUUCUUGGUUUCUCUACUCCUACUCUUUUUAUGGGACCCCGGGCUGAGAUUACCUCUCCUGACACUCUCAUUUCACCUUUCCAGUCCCUUGAAAUAAACACCAACUACAAAAAUGUAUUGCAUAUAUAGAAAAGACCUGGAACUUUGAUGUGACAAACAUUAUGAUGUAACUUCCCCCCAAAUCACAAGUCAAUAUCAGACUGCCUUUAUGAAGCAAGAAGCCAUGUGAUUUUCCUAAAUUUCUGAAUUUUAUAAAUGAGAUUACAGUUAACCCACCUUCUCUGAGUCUAAUUCAUAUGCCCUCUACACUAUAGGGGUGGAUUCAAAUCUGUUUAACAAAAUAAAUGGUUAAAAUAGUAAAUAUCUUUAUUCUGUAAAAAAUCCUUUGAGAGGAUAUGAAAGAGAUCUUUCAACAAAUGAGUGAAUGUUAUUUAGAGGAUUUUAACUCAUUACAUUUAAUUCCAGUGAUAAAAAUUAGGAUGAACAAGCAGAAUAACAACUACAAUGAUAAUAAGUUAAGAACUUAUGUGUGCCAGUCACUGUGAUAAGUGCUUUACUAAAAUCCUCAUUUAUGUGCACAACAUCCCUUCAAAGUGCUUACUGCUUUUAUUUCUAUUUUGAAGACUAGAAAAGUGACAUUGGGAUAUACUGAGCAAUUUGGUAAAGGCCCAGUCAAGGAAGUGGUGGAGGUUAUCUGGUCAGUGCAACAUCUGCACCCUUAAUCACUAUACUAUCAUGGCAACACAGAGGUGCAGCUGUUAGCUCAGUGUUAGGAAGGAUAUUUAAUAAUCAGGGGUUUGAAGAAGUAAUUGGGUGUCCCCACCAUGGUGAGAUUCACCAGCUGAUUUGUGGGGUAUGACAUCGCUGGUCCUCCUAAGAUGAGACAGAGCAGACACAAUAUAAUCAGCUCUAUUAAUUCCUUCACAUAAGUGGA